rnacentral:rRNA from 1 species
AUUGAACGCUGGCGGCAGGCUUAACACAUGCAAGUCGAGCGGAGAGAGGUAGCUUGCUACUGAUCUUAGCGGCGGACGGGUGAGUAAUGCUUAGGAAUCUGCCUAUUAGUGGGGGACAACAUUUCGAAAGGAAUGCUAAUACCGCAUACGUCCUACGGGAGAAAGCAGGGGAUCUUCGGACCUUGCGCUAAUAGAUGAGCCUAAGUCGGAUUAGCUAGUUGGUGGGGUAAAGGCCUACCAAGGCGACGAGCUGUAGCGGGUCUGAGAGGAUGAUCCGCCACACUGGGACUGAGACACGGCCCAGACUCCUACGGGAGGCAGCAGUGGGGAAUAUUGGACAAUGGGCGGAAGCCUGAUCCAGCCAUGCCGCGUGUGUGAAGAAGGCCUUAUGGUUGUAAAGCACUUUAAGCGAGGAGGAGGCUACUUUAGUUAAUACCUAGAGAUAGUGGACGUUACUCCCAGAAUAAGCACCGGCUAACUCUGUGCCAGCCGCCGCCGUAACAC